rnacentral:rRNA from 1 species
GACGAACGCUGGCGGCGUGCUUAACACAUGCAAGUCGAACGGAAAGGCCUCUUUCGGGGGGUACUCGAGUGGCGAACGGGUGAGUAACACGUGAGUAACCUGCCCUUGACUUUGGGAUAACUUCAGGAAACUGGGGCUAAUACCGGAUAGGAGCUCCUGCUGCAUGGUGGGGGUUGGAAAGUUUCGGCGGUUGGGGAUGGACUCGCGGCUUAUCAGCUUGUUGGUGGGGUAGUGGCUUACCAAGGCUUUGACGGGUAGCCGGCCUUGGAGGGUGACCGGCCACAUUGGGACUGAGAUACGGCCCAGACUCCGACGGGAGGCAGCAGUGGGGAAUAUUGCACAAUGGGUGGAAGCCUGAUGCAGCAACGCCGUGUGCGGGAUGACGGCCUUCGGGUUGUAAACCGCUUUCGCUCAUGACGAAGCUUUGUGUGACGGUAGUGGGUAAAGAAGCACCGGCUAACUACGUG